ACAGGGAUUGCCUCAGUAACGGCGAGUGAAGCGGCAACAGCUCAAAUUUGAAAUCUGGCCCUCGGGUCCGAGUUGUAAUUUGUAGAGGAUGCUUUUGGCGCGGUGCCUUCUGAGUUCCCUGGAAUGGGACGCCAGAGAGGGUGAGAGCCCCGUAUAGUCGGACACCAAGCCUCUGUAAAGCUCCUUCGACGAGUCGAGUAGUUUGGGAAUGCUGCUCAAAAUGGGAGGUAAAUUUCUUCUAAAGCUAAAUACCGGCCAGAGACCGAUAGCGCACAAGUAGAGUGAUCGAAAGAUGAAAAGCACUUUGAAAAGAGGGUUAAACAGUACGUGAAAUUGUUGAAAGGGAAGCGCUCAUGACCAGACUUGCGCCCGGCGGAUCAUCCAGCGUUCUCGCUGGUGCACUCCGCCGGGCUCAGGCCAGCAUCGGUUCCGGUGGGGGGAUAAAAGUCGUGGGAAUGUGACUCCUCCGGGAGUGUUAUAGCCCGCUUCAUAAUGCCCUCGCCGAGACCGAGGUACGCGCUCCGCAAGGAUGCUGGCGUAAUGGUUAUCAGCGACCCGU
rnacentral:rRNA from 1 species